rnacentral:lncRNA from 1 species
UCAGCUUAGUCUGCAGAGUGUUUGUUGUGGCAGUUUCGCCCGUUGAUUACUCCUUCAAUCCCCAGUAUAAGUGGAUGAUGGCUCUAGCCUCCAGUGAACGGAUUUAUUUCCAGACUGUUUGUGAUCCCCAGUAGAGUGGCUUAUAUUGCAGGAUCUACUUGUUGUGAUCAGUUUGCUGUAUAUUCUCCCCAAGUGGAGCGGGUCGUUGCAGAACCUACUUGUUU